rnacentral:rRNA from 1 species
GCAGGCUGCAACUCGCCUGCAUGAAGCUGGAAUUGCUAGUAAUCGCGGAUCAGCAUGCCGCGGUGAAUACGUUCCCGGGCCUUGUACACACCGCCCGUCACACCAUGAGAGUCGGGAACACCCGAAGUCCGUAGUCUAACCGCAAGGAGGGCGCGGCCGAAGGUGGGUCCGGUAAUUGGGGUGAAGUCGUAACAAGGUACC